AGGGGUUAAAGGGUUAAUAUACAAAACGGCGGACGAGACUCAGGUGUCGUAAAGUCGAAACAGCGUAGGUCGAGUACCGCGUAACCCGAGGACCUCCUGUAUUUUGUGUUU